AGAGUUCGAUUAUGGCUCAGGAUGAACGCUAGCUACAGGCUUAACACAUGCAAGUCGAGGGGCAGCAUGGAGUUGCUUGCAAACUCUGAUGGCGACCGGCGCACGGGUGAGUAACGCGUAUCCAACCUUCCCUAUAGUAGAGGAUAGCCCGGCGAAAGUCGGAUUAAUACUCUAUGUUUUCCGUUGCAGACAUCUAAGAUGGAACAAAGGCUUGCCGCUAUAGGAUGGGGGAUGCGUCUGAUUAGGUAGUCGGCGGGGUAACGGCCCACCGAGCCAUCGAUCAGUAGGGGUUCUGAGAGGAAGGUCCCCCACAUUGGAACUGAGACACGGUCCAAACUCCUACGGGAGGCAGCAGUGAGGAAUAUUGGUCAAUGGACGAGAGUCUGAACCAGCCAAGUAGCCGUGCAGGACGACGGCCCUAUGGGUUGUAAACUGCUUUUAUGCGGGGAUAAAGUUCACUACGUGUAGUGUUUUGUAGGUACCGCAUGAAUAAGGACCGGCUAAUUCCGUGCCAGCAGCGGC
rnacentral:rRNA from 1 species